UGAACUAAUUCGAAGUUAUAAACAUAACCUCAACUGUAACUCUGGCAAAAACUGUGAUAAAACAACGUGUAAACAUGUCUUUAACAAAUUACGAAACAGCUUUUACCGCAAUUUUGUUCGUGCCCUGUGUUUACAUGUUCAAAAAGCUUUAUUCAACCUACAAGUCCUUAAAACAGCAGUAUGAGGACGAAGAACUAUUCUACCAAAGACACAACUGUGUUGUUAUGUACUCCAAGACUCACAUCACUGGCUGGCCUCCCGAAUAUAAAAUGAGCAUUUCGACCAAAAAUUUGGACAAAUUUUUGGAUCCUUAUUUGUAUUUUAUAAAUACAUCAAAACACUCCAUUGACCUGGCUGUGAUGACCUUUUCAUUAAAACCUUUAAUGGAGGCUUUACAAAGCGCUUUAACACGUGGGGUUAAAGUAAGACUGAUUGUAAAUUAUUUAUCGGUCAAAAACCAAGCCAAACAAUACAAUGAGUUGAUGAAAUCAGGGAUUAAGGUGGCCUUUUAUAUUGAGAAAACUACCAGUCUGAGUAAUAUAAUGCAUUGUAAAUAUAGUGUCAAGGAUUAUGAUGGAUCCAAGGGUUUUCUCUUUAUGGGUUCAAUGAAUUUAACUGGAAUGUCAACAAUAUUAAAUAAUUAUGAAGAUGUUACUUUCACGUCGAAUAUUUAUCUUGUUGAAACAUUCCAUAAAAGUUUUCAAGAUUCGUGGAAUAUGAUUAUGGAAGAUAAUGAAAAUUUUUACAACAAGACUGUUCUAGCUGAUAGUGGCUUUUCGGUUUGAAGUUUAUUUCUAAUACAAUAUUUAUGAUUUAUAUUUUACUUCUAUUAUUUGAUAUUUUUCGUUAAUAUUUUUAUUUCUGUUCCAUGCGUUAUUCGCAUGUCACUGGAAAACCUUCCUUGAAAAUGAAAAAAUCGCUUUUGUUGGGUAAUUUAGUGGAAUAUUUGGAAAUUUUUAGUCAAAAGUUUCUCGACGACUUAAAAAAAUUGAAGAUUUCCGUUUUUUUUUU